GACGAACGCUGGCGGCGUGCCUAAUACAUGCAGUCGCGCGAAGUUUUUCUGGUGCUUGCACUAGAAAAACUUAGCGGCGAACGGGUGAGUAACACGUAAAGAACCUGCCUCAUAGACUGGGACAACUAUUGGAAACGAUAGCUAAUACCGGAUAACAGUAUUUCUCGCAUGAGAGAUAUUUAAAAGUUGGUUAUGCUAGCACUAUGAGAUGGCUUUGCGGUGCAUUAGCUAGUUGGUGGGGUAAAGGCCCACCAAGGCGGCGAUGCAUAGCCGACCUGAGAGGGUGAUCGGCCACACUGGGACUGAGACACGGCCCAGACUCCUACGGGAGGCAGCAGUAGGGAAUCUUCCGCAAUGGGCGAAAGCCUGACGGAGCAACGCCGCGUGAGUGAAGAAGGAUUUCGGUUCGUAAAGCUCUGUUGUUAGGGAAGAAUGGAUAUGUAGUAACUAUACAUGUAAGAGACGGUACCUAACCAGAAAGCCACGGCUAACUACGUG
rnacentral:rRNA from 1 species